AGAGUUUGAUCCUGGCUCAGGACGAACGCUGGCGGCGUGCCUAACACAUGCAAGUCGAACGAAGCAUAGUAAUAUGCUUAGUGGCGGACGGGUGAGUAACGCGUGAACAAUCUGCCCUAUACAAAGGAAUAGCCUCGGGAAACUGGGAUUAAAACCAUAUAACACUUUUCUUUCGCAUGGAAGAGAAGUCAAAUUGAUUAAGAGGUAUAGGAUGAGUUCGCGUCUGAUUAGCUAGUUGGUGAGGUAAUGGCUCACCAAGGCGACGAUCAGUAGCCGGCCUGAGAGGGUGAACGGCCACACUGGAACUGAGACACGGUCCAGACUCCUACGGGAGGCAGCAGUGGGGAAUAUUGCACAAUGGGCGAAAGCCUGAUGCAGCGACGCCGCGUGAGUGAAGAAGGUCUUCGGAUCGUAAAACUCUGUCCUUGGUGAAGAAAAAAAUGACGGUAGCCAAGGAGGAAGCCCCGGCUAACUACGUGCCAGCAGCCGCGGUAAUACGUAGGGGGCGAGCGUUGUCCGGAUUUACUGGGCGUAAAGGGUGAGUAGGCGGUUGUAUGUGUCAGAUGUAAAAGGCUAUGGCUUAACCAUAGUUGGCAUUUGAAACUGUACAACUUGAGUGCAGGAGAGGUAAGUGGAAUUCCUAGUGUAGCGGUGAAAUGCGUAGAUAUUAGGAGGAACACCAGUGGCGAAGGCGACUUACUGGACUGUAACUGACGCUGAGUCACGAAAGCGUGGGUAGCAAACAGGAUUAGAUACCCUGGUAGUCCACGCUGUAAACGAUGAGUGCUAGGUGUUGGGUAGCGAUAUUCAGUGCCGAAGUUAACACAAUAAGCACUCCGCCUGGGAGA
rnacentral:rRNA from 1 species